GAUCCUGGCUCAGGAUGAACGCUGGCGGCGUGCCUAAUACAUGCAAGUCGAACGCUUUGUAAAGGAGCUUGCUUCUUUACGAGGAGUGGCGAACGGGUGGGUAAUACAUAAGCAAUCUGCCCAUCGGCCUGGGAUAACAGUUGGAAACGGCUGCUAAUACCGGAUAGGUUAGUUUCUGGCAUCAGGAACUAAUUAAAGUUGGGAUACAACACGGAUGGAUGAGCUUAUGGCGUAUUAGCUAGUAGG
rnacentral:rRNA from 1 species